rnacentral:rRNA from 1 species
AUUGAACGCUGGCGGCAGGCCUAACACAUGCAAGUCGAACGGUAGCACAGAGAGCUUGCUCUCGGGUGACGAGUGGCGGACGGGUGAGUAACGUCUGGGAAACUGCCCGAUGGAGGGGGAUAACUACUGGAAACGGUAGCUAAUACCGCAUAACGUCGCAAGACCAAAGUGGGGGACCUUCGGGCCUCACACCAUCGGAUGUGCCCAGAUGGGAUUAGCUAGUAGGUGGGGUAAUGGCUCACCUAGGCGACGAUCCCUAGCUGGUCUGAGAGGAUGACCAGCCACCCUGGAACUGAGACACGGUCCAGACUCCUACGGGAGGCAGCAGUGGGGAAUAUUGCACAAUGGGCGCAAGCCUGAUGCAGCCAUGCCGCGUGUUUGAAGAAGGCCUUCGGGUUGUAAAGUACUUUCAGCGGGGAGGAAGGCGGUGAAGUUAAUAACUUCACCGAUUGACGUUACCCGCAGAAGAAGCACCGGCUAACUCCGUGCCAGCCGCCGCAGUAA